rnacentral:rRNA from 1 species
UGGGGAAUAUUGGACAAUGGGCGAAAGCCUGAUCCAGCGAUGCCGCGUGAGUGAUGAAGGCCUUAGGGUUGUAAAGCUCUUUUGACAGGGACGAUGAUGACGGUACCUGUAGAAUAAGCACCGGCUAACUCUGUGCCAGCAGCCGCGGUAAUACAGAGGGUGCUAGCGUUGUUCGGAAUUACUGGGCGUAAAGGGCGUGUAGGCGGUUAUAUAAGUCAGAUGUUAAAGUCCCGGGCUUAACCUGGGGGAUGCGUUUGAUACUGUAUGACUAGAGUGCAGGAGAGGAGAGUGGAAUUCCCGGUGUAGAGGUGAAAUUCGUAGAUAUCGGGAGGAACACCAGUGGCGAAGGCGGCUCUCUGGACUGCUACUGACGCUGAGGCGCGAAAGCGUGGGGAGCAAACAGG